ACAAACUUGGUCAUUUAGAGGAAGUAAAAGUCGUAACAAGGUUUCCGUAGGUGAACCUGCGGAAGGAUCAUUAUCGAAACCCGAGGGUGCAGAGGGGGAUCGGAGAGAUCCGUUCCUCCGAAGCCCUUCGUUUACUCUUUGACACACCUCACGUGCACCCCAUUCGCAAGGGCCCUUCGGGACCCGCGCGUUUCAUCUCCGACUCGCAUGUCUACAGAAUGUCGAUAGCAUUUGAUAUAUAUAUAAAAUACAACUUUCAGCAACGGAUCUCUUGGCUCUCGCAUCGAUGAAGAACGCAGC
rnacentral:misc_RNA from 1 species